UAGGGAAUCUUCGGCAAUGGACGGAAGUCUGACCGAGCAACGCCGCGUGAGCGAAGAAGGUUUUCGGAUCGUAAAGCUCUGUUGUAAGAGAAGAACGAGUGUGAGAGUGGAAAGUUCACACUGUGACGGUAUCUUACCAGAAAGGGACGGCUAACUACGUGCCAGCAGCCGCGGUAAUACGUAGGUCCCGAGCGUUGUCCGGAUUUAUUGGGCGUAAAGCGAGCGCAGGCGGUUAGAUAAGUCUGAAGUUAAAGGCUGUGGCUUAACCAUAGUACGCUUUGGAAACUGUUUAACUUGAGUGCAAGAGGGGAGAGUGGAAUUCCAUGUGUAGCGGUGAAAUGCGUAGAUAUAUGGAGGAACACCGGUGGCGAAAGCGGCUCUCUGGCUUGUAACUGACGCUGAGGCUCGAAAGCGUGGGGAGCAAACAGGAUUAGAUACCCUGGUAGUCCACGCCGUAAACGAUGAGUGCUAGGUGUUAGACCCUUUCCGGGGUUUAGUGCCGCAGCUAACGCAUUAAGCACUCCGCCUGGGGAGUACGACCGCAAGGUUG
rnacentral:rRNA from 1 species